UACAGAGGGUGCGAGCGUUGUUCGGAUUUACUGGGCGUAAAGGGCGCGUAGGCGGCGCGGUAAGUCACUUGUGAAAUCUCUGAGCUUAACUCAGAACGGCCAAGUGAUACUGCAGUGCUAGAGUGCAGAAGGGGCAAUCGGAAUUCUUGGUGUAGCGGUGAAAUGCGUAGAUAUCAAGAGGAACACCUGAGGUGAAGACGGGUUGCUAGGCUGACACUGACGCUGAGGCGCGAAAGCCAGGGGAGCAAACGGG
rnacentral:rRNA from 1 species